rnacentral:rRNA from 1 species
GGGUUAGUAAUGCAUAGGAAUUUUCCUCGAAGUCGUGAAUAAUCCGGAGAAAUCCGGAAUAAUACACGAUGUGCUCUACGGAGUAAAGAUUUAUCGCUUUGAGAGAAGCCUAUGUCCUAUCAGCUUGUUGGUGGUGUAAAGGACCACCAAGGCUACGACGGGUAGGGGGUGUGAGAGCACGGCCCCCAACAUUGGGACUGAGACACUGCCCAAACUCCUACGGGAGGCUGCAGUCGAGAAUAUUCGUCAAUGCGCGAAAGCGUGAACGAGCGACGCCGCGUGCGGGAUGAAGGCCUUCGGGUUGUAAACCGCUUUUGUAAGGGAAGAAUUUCGAUGACGGUACCUUACGAAUAAGAGGUUACUAACUCUGUG